rnacentral:rRNA from 1 species
UACACACCGCCCGUCACACCAUGGAAGUUGGCUGCACCAGAAGUAGGUAGCCUAACCGCAAGGGGACGCUUACCACGGUGUGGUCAAUGACUGGGGUG